rnacentral:misc_RNA from 1 species
ACACCUCAACUCUCAUGGCUUGCCAUGAUGAGCUUGGACUUUGGGGGUCUUGUUGGCCUGUGAGCCAGCUCCUCUUAAAUGAAUCAGCUUGCCAGUGUUUGGUGGCAUCACGAGUGUGAUAACUAUCUACGCUUGUGAUUUCCCACCAGGUAACCUUCAGCAAUGGAGGUUUGCUGGGGCUUACAAAUGUCUCUCCUCAGUGAAGACAUCUUUCUGAAC